rnacentral:rRNA from 1 species
UACGUAGGAUGCUAGCGUUGUCCGGAAUUAUUGGGCGUAAAGAGUUCGUAGGCGGUGAUGUAAGUCUGGUGUUAAAGCCCGGAGCUCAACUCCGGCAUGGCAUUGGAAACUGGAUUGCUAGAGUGUGGUAGAGGUAACUGGAAUUCCAGGUGUAGCGGUGAAAUGCGUAGAUAUCUGGAGGAACACCAGUGGCGAAAGCGAGUUACUGGCACACAACUGACGCUGAGGAACGAAAGCCAGGGUAGCAAAAGGG